rnacentral:pre_miRNA from 1 species
AUUUAGGUUGGUGCAAAAGUAAUUGCAGUUUUUGUCAUUACUUUUAAUUGCAAAAACUGCAAUUACUUUUGCACCAACCUAAAU